rnacentral:rRNA from 1 species
AUACGGAGGGGGUUAGCGUUGUUCGGAAUUACUGGGCGUAAAGCGCACGUAGGCGGAUUGGAAAGUUGGGGGUGAAAUCCCAGGGCUCAACCCUGGAACUGCCUCCAAAACUAACAGUCUAGAGUUCGAGAGAGGUGAGUGGAAUUCCAAGCGUAGAGGUGAAAUUCGUAGAUAUUUGGAGGAACACCAGUGGCGAAGGCGGCUCACUGGCUCGAUACUGACGCUGAGGUGCGAAAGCGUGGGGAGCAAACAGGAUUAGAAACCCCAGUAGUCC